ACCUACGGGGGGCAGCAGUGAGGAAUAUUGGUCAAUGGUCGGGAGACUGAACCAGCCAAGCCGCGUGAGGGAUGAAGGUACAGAGUAUCGUAAACCUCUUUUGUCAGGGAACAAAGGCGGGGACGUGUCCCCGGAUGAGUGUACCUGAAGAAAAAGCAUCGGCUAACUCCGUGCCGGCAGCCGCGGUAAUACGGAGGAUGCGAGCGUUAUCCGGAUUUAUUGGGUUUAAAGGGUGCGCAGGCGGUCUGUUAAGUCAGCGGUCAAAGCCCGGGGCUCAACCCCGGCCCGCCGUUGAAACUGGCAGG
rnacentral:rRNA from 1 species